AUUGAACGCUGGCGGCAGGCCUAACACAUGCAAGUCGAACGAGUGGCGGACGGGUGAGUAAUGUAUGGGAAACUGCCCGAUGGAGGGGGAUAACUACUGGAAACGGUGGCUAAUACCGCCUACUAUCAGAUGUGCCCAUAUGGGAUUAGCUAGUUGGGGGGGUAACGGGUCACCAAGGCGACGAUCCCUAGCUGGUCUGAGAGGAUGAUCAGCCACACUGGGACGUAGACACGGUCCAUACGCCUACGGGAGGCAGCAGUGGGGAAUAUUGCACAAGGGGCGCAAGCCUGAUGCAGCCAUGCCGCGUGUAUGAAGAAGGCCUUAGGGUUGUAAAGUACUUGCAGCGGGGAGGCGUUACCCGCAGAAGAAGCACCGGCUAACUCCGUGCCAGCAGCCGCGGUAAUUC
rnacentral:rRNA from 1 species